rnacentral:rRNA from 1 species
AUGUACUUGUCUCGUGGGUGGGAGAAGUUCUACCGUGCCUAUGACCUGCAGCUGGGGUACUUUCUUCUCUUCAGGUACGACGACGACGCCAUCAUGCUCAUCGUGAAGGUGUUCAACACAAUUAUGUGUCGCAUGCGCUACGCUGUCGAUGAUGAUGCCGGUAAUGGGAGCAACAGCAGCGACACUGGCUACAGCCAAAGCAGCAAUGACUAUGGUUGUAGCGAAAGCAGUAGUGAUUUUGGCUGUAGCGAAAGCAGCAGCGAUUCUGACAGCAGCAUAGACAACAAGAAGGAUGAUCCGGACUGGAGUGCGGGAGAAGAGGAGCUGAGUGAGGAUGAGGAGCUGCAGGAUGACGAUGGGCAUCAGGCUGAGGAUGACCUAGCGCUGGUGGUGGCUGACCAAGGGCAAGAGAUGGUGGUGGCUAACCAUGGGCAAGAGAUGGAGGUGGCUGAGGAUGACCUAGCGAUGGUCGUGCCUGAAGGUGGCCUCACGAUGGUGGUGGUGCCUGACAAUGACCACGCAUCGGUGGUGGCGCCGGCGAUCCCACAGCUGGGCGACAUGACCACGCCAAUUGUGGUAGAAGACUACAUCCCACUGCCUCCAUUGCCUUCACCGCCUCGCCGCUCUAGGCGCAUCAGGGAGAGGAAGGAGAAGAAGGAGAAGAACAAUGCAUGA